UCUGAAUGGAUUUUCAAAAAUCAGAACCCGAACCUGACUCCAAAUACGAAACCCAAACCCAAAUCCAAACGCAACGGAUUUUAAAAAUCUAUAUCUAAAUCCGAACUUGACAAAAAAUUUGAAAUCUGAACCUGAACCCAAAAAUCUGAACCUAAGAUAAUUAUUUCUCUUUUCAAUAUUUUAAAAUAUAUUACAUUAAAUCUAAAU
rnacentral:lncRNA from 1 species